rnacentral:rRNA from 1 species
GAUGAACGCUGGCGGCGUGCCUAAUACAUGCAAGUCGAGCGAACGGACGAGAAGCUUGCUUCUCUGAUGUUAGCGACGGACGGGUGAGUAACACGUGGAUAACCUACCUAUAAGACUGGGAUAACUUCGGGAAACCGGAGCUAAUACCGGAUAAUAUUUUGAACCGCAUGGUUCAAAAGUGAAAGACGGUCUUGCUGUCACUUAUAGAUGGAUCCGCGCUGCAUUAGCUAGUUGGUAAGGUAACGGCUUACCAAGGCAACGAUGCAUAGCCGACCUGAGAGGGUGAUCGGCCACACUGGAACUGAGACACGGUCCAGACUCCUACGGGAGGCAGCAGUAGGGAAUCUUCCGCAAUGGGCGAAAGCCUGACGGAGCAACGCCGCGUGAGUGAUGAAGGUCUUCGGAUCGUAAAACUCUGUUAUUAGGGAAGAACAUAUGUGUAAGUAACUGUGCACACCUUGACGGUACCUAAUCAGAAAGCCACGGCUAACUACGUG